GUUAAAGCUAUGAUCGGGAGAGUAGGCUUUUGCUGCUUGCCCAGGGAGGUGGGGCCCCGGACUGAAAGCCCCGCUGCAGGAACAUUAGCUGAAGAACACCCGGGAGUGACCCCCGAAAGGACAGACAGUCUUAGUAGGCCGGUCCGGGAACGGCGCCGUUAUCGCCGUUAAAGAGGGACAAGUAUUUGUCCAAGCAGGGUGGCACCACGGGAAAAACUCCCGUCCCUGGU
rnacentral:ncRNA from 1 species